CACUUGAGCUCAACCUGGAAAGGGACUACACAGCUCCACAGUAGUGCGAGCAGAGGAACUCUGAAUUAUGUCCAGAAUCAAGUAGAAACCCUCCGCUCAUCAAAUUCUUUUCUCAAAAAAGGUUUAAUCUUUCCAGUCUUUAUAGUCUCUUUGCCUCACUCAAGAGUCUAUAAUUUUACUACUAAAUCCAGAAAAAGGUCCUUUAAAAAAAUGUCCAAUUUCAUCCCUGAAGAAAUUGUGACCCGAAUCCUCACAAGGGUUCCUGCAAAGUCUCUCAUAAGGUUCAGGUGCGUAUCCAAAUCAUGGAAAUCUUUGAUCUCCAGUCCUGAUUUCAUUUCUCUGCAUACCAGAGAAGCUUUUCUCUCAAAACCCACCAUCCCAGAUGAUAGGAUGCUUGUUAGGUGCUAUUCCAAACCCCAAAGAACUGAACUUUACUCUGUACACCACGACAAUGAAGAUUUCACUGUGGCAAGUGAGGUCAAAAUAGACUUCCCUUUUCGCCGUUUAGCUCAGUUUUAUUUCAGGAUUGUGGGUUUUUGCAAUGGGUUACUGUGUUUGUCUGAGGAUAUUUUUGGAUACAGAAACCUUAUUAUGCUGUGGAACCCUUCGAUCAGGCGAAAAAUGAUUCUUCCUGUGCCCCGCGCCGUUUUUGAGAACUUGGGGACUUAUAUGUUUGUGGUUGGAUUUGGAUAUGACGUGAAAAACAAUGAUUUUAAGGUUGUAAGGAUUGCUUAUGAUCAGUCUAGACGCGGGUAUAAGUUGCCUCCCAUAGUUGAAGUUUUUGCGCUGGGUGUAGGUGAUUGGAGGGAGAUUGAUGUUGAUUUGGCUCAAAACUGGGUGAUUGAGAACUUCUGGACUCAGGCGUUUGUGAACGGAAAGGUGCAUUGGGUUGCUUAUAGGUUGAAUGAAGAGAAGGAGAAUUUGAUUAUGGUGUUUGAUUUGAGCAAUGAGGUGUUUGAGGAACUGUUGUUGCCUGAUGCUUUGGCUGUUGAGUGUCCAAUAAAUAUGUGCACUUCUGUUUGUGAGGAUUCAAUUGCUGUUCUCAACUAUGAUAAGCGUGUUGGGACUGGAAGCUGUUCCAUUUGGUUGAUGACAGUAUAUGGCGAUGUAAAGUCUUGGAGCAAAAUGUACACAGUAGCUCUUGAAGGAGAAUUGGGGAAGAUAUUGAGUUUUAGGAAGGAUGGUAAUAUAUUGUUGACAGCAAGUGACGGAGAACUGUAUUCAUAUGAUCCAGAUCCAAGGCUUCAAGAAAUUAAAUACAUUGGAAUUUUGGGCACCAAAGAUUCAUUCUUUGUUGGUCGGUAUACGGAGAGUCUAGCUUUGCUGAUUGAAGGAGAAGAAGAAUUGGAAGGUCUACCAAAUGCGGCUGACUCUGGUUCUUCUGAAGAUGGCAAUGGAGGAGAGGAUUGUGAAGUUGAAAAGAUUGAGCUGUGGAAGCAGUCCAUCUUGGUUGGCUUUCUGAAAGCCCUACUGCUUGCACAAUGAUGCAGGUUUUUAACCAUUUUGGUAUGCUCUAUACAGGAGACAAAGCCUAAGUUAUGGCUUAAAACUUGCCUUGCCUCUAAACACUGAUCCUUUUUUGCUGUCUUUUGUGUCUACUGGGUAGCUGAUCCUUGUGCAACACUUGCUUUGAACUGCCCUUCCCGUUUUCUUUGAAUGAAGACUUUUAUGGGAAGUUGAUGUUGCCAGAGCAGUUGUAGUUGAUUAGACUCAGAUGAUGAUUGGAGACUUGAACCUUUUCAUUAAUUUAUCAAGCUGAAGCUCGGAUCAUUGAAUUCAAUCAAAUUCAAGUACUUGAUUAUCUUCCUGAUCUUGUACUUAAAUUACCAAGUUCCGUGGAGCUGGUUGAUUAUGAUAUAUAUAUAUAUAUAUAUACACACACACACACACUCCAUAUAGUAGUAGUUUAUUA